rnacentral:rRNA from 1 species
UACAGGGGGGCAAGCGUUGUUCGGAAUUACUGGGCGUAAAGGGUUCGUAGGUGGCCAACUAAGUCAGACGUGAAAUCCCUCAGCUUAACUGGGGAACUGCGUCUGAUACUGGAUGGCUUGAGUUUGGGAGAGGGAUGCGGAAUUCCAGGUGUAGCGGUGAAAUGCGUAGAUAUCUGGAGGAACACCGGUGGCGAAGGCGGCAUCCUGGACCAACACUGGACGCUGAGUGAGCGAAAGCCAGGGGAGCAAACGGG